UUUUAAACAAAAACAAACAAAGCAGUCAUUAUAGCUAAUGAUAAAGUAUAUCACUGUACCAUAGAAGAAGCACCAUAUAUUCAGAGAAAAAAAGCUAAAUGGUUGUGAAAUUUCCUCUCAAGGUCAUUUGGAAAGGCUAUAAUAAAAAGAAAAGAAAAGCAAGAAAUAACAGCAUGUCAAGUGGGCUGUUUACCACACCUUUUUCCACCACAUAGAGUAAAAAUAAAAAUGAAACUUGACUUUCAGUAAGAAGAAACUGACCACAGGAUUAAAGAUAUAAAGACAAUUAUUAUAAAGAUACUCUGAUUUUUGACAUCCUGUUUACAAUGUGAGUGUGUAUCUGUGUGCAUAAAAGUUUUCUUGCCUUCUAAUAGUGGUUUUUAUUAUUUUUAUUAGACACAGUGGGUAGAAAUUUUUAACUGCUUUAUUGAACGUGAGCACCAACACAUAUAAUUUUGAAUAACAACCAAUAAUAUCAGAAUUUUAAGUUUGUCCUAAAAUUAGUGAAAGACCUUUUGCUGAGCUUACUUAUUAAGAACGUCCUCUUCAGCACUAGAAGUUUUACUCUUGGUGUUUUGCCAGAGAAUU
rnacentral:lncRNA from 1 species